CUCUCCUUGCCGGUGCGUCUCCCCAUCUGGCUCUCCUGAAAAAGCAAGCAAACACAUCAUGGUCUUGGUUAGCCACAUACACAAGAGGCAAAACAAGCCGGUGAAUCGAGGUAACAGCAGAUAGAGAUGUGGCGAGGCUCUGGUUUCCCUUUGUUUGCUUGGCUCGAAAAAAGCAGCAGAGAAAUCAGCAACACACAGAGACACAGACACAGAAGGUCUAGUCGUGAUCAGCCUACGUAUAAAUAGCAGAAUUUAGCUGCGCGCCCGAGGAAGACAGGGAGGUUCCAAAAUGGGUAGAGUAGAUUAUCUAGCCAUGCAUGCAGGGCCCUACUACUCCACUUAGCAUGCACUAUCAGAUUGAUUGAUACUCUACUAUGGUUGCUUUGGUAAGGAAUGAUUCUCCUUCGAGUGAGUGAGUAUGGUUCCAAUGAUUCAACCGCAUAUGGGUUUGGUCGAUCGACGGCGACAUGUGAUGUGAGCCAAGCUCGUGGUAUCAGCGAUCGAGCAGGGGAGCCGGCCGGAGGUGGUGGUCAUGAGGUAGGCCAUUCCCUUUGCUUCUUCCCCGGCCGGCGGCUUUGGGUUUGGGUUUCCGUUCCUGGUGUAAUUCGGGAUGGAAAGCGACCAUGUGAUACUCCCGGGGCCCUACGGUUUCUGCCGCUUUGAGAAGUGAGUUGGGUUUCCCGAUCGAAGAGGACCCAUCGCUGUCGCCGGCUGCCUCCUGGUUGGGUUGGGUUGGGACUCUCGGCCAAUGGCCAUGGCGCAUCGCUGUCCCGGCCCUGGAAUCAUAGCAUAGCUGCCUCCUGGCCUGCUCUCUCGGUUCCGGCGACCGAGCUUUUCCGGCUUUUGAGACAGGCCGGCCAGAUCUCAGGUUGGAGCCAUGCCUGCCGUCGUCGCCCGCCAUGGAUAUCGAUCGCUAUCUCCUGGAAUAUCCUGCCGCGCCGCAGAGACAGGAUGGAGGAAUGUUUUUUGUUUGUAGGGGAUCUUUUGACCGGACGGCCCCUUCCCUUGGACCGUGGAGCUCUUGGGGCUGUGGCGUGUGCGCGCCGCGUGCUGCAAUGAGUGGUGCCACCGGGCUGCCACGCCGUCGCCGGACCAGCCGAGGUAGUACCACGCUGUGGAUUUGUGAUUGGAGUAGCUAGUAUGCAACUGCAUGAGCGGGCGAGACGGUCGAGAUAUUUGUGAUUGGAAGAAGGCGUUGUUGACGAUGCGUCGCGCCGGGUUUAUCAAGCUCGGGGACACGUCGUGGACGAAGACACGCAUCGGUGUUGCCAGCACCAAUCAUGCAUAGACGGACGAAGACGAAGUUGACGAAGCGCCGACCAGGCUUGACAGGCCGAGGACACAUCAUGGAUGAAGGCACGCAUCGGUAUUGCCAGCAUCGGGCAUGCGUAGACGAGGGACCUGCACGAGCUGUACGCCAUGUCGAGGAGUCGGAGGGCCAGCAGAGAAGAAGACUCGACGACCGUUGUGGCGCCAAUCGGUAUGGGGGCCGAUGUCACCAACGGUGGUCGGAGUAGACAAAGUGGUCGGGGAAGAUGACGGCGACGGGUUAGUGUUGGACGGGCGGUUGCUACGGGGGUAGCGGCGGCGGCUAGGUUAGGAGCGCGGCGGCGAUGCUCGAAGUAGGCGAGGAACCCGACAGCGUGAUGAACACCGGCACAGAUGGUGGCGUUCCCGCGCCAAGGGAGGCGGCGCGGCGCAUACCACGGGAAGUCGACGCGCGGGGAUGACGGUGGACCGCGGACGCGGCUCCAUGACCCGAAGGGGCGACAUGGCGGCAGCAGGUGGGUUGGGGAGACGGCGGGAAGACCUUGGGCAGGUCGCGGUGCUACGGCCCGAAGGGGCGACGCAGCGGCGGAGCCCGAGUCGGUGCAACCGCGGGGACGGCCUCGGGGCGGCGGCGGGGACCGCAUGUCGCGGCACUAUGGCCUGAAGGGCGACACAGCGGCGACGCGCAAGCGGUGCAGCCGCAGGGAGAACCACGGGGCGGCGGUGCUGCGGCCCGACGAGGCGACGCAUCGGCAGCCCAUUGCUCGUCGGUGGAGGGGCGCGCUGAACUCGGGGACGAUCUUCACGGGACCUGCGGAGGCGCGUGCAACCGACGGGUCAGGUCGGUCGCGCGGCGUAGAUGAGGUGGAUCGCAGUGGUGAGCGGGUGAUCAAGCUGAUCGCGCGCGAGGUCGGGGAUGCCGCUUGGUGGGGGUGGGGUGGCGGCAGAGUCCAAGAUGAAGCCGACGACGAUGGUCGGCGGGGCGGCCGUACUGGCGCGGCGUAGAUCGACGGGCAGGCCGGCGCGCAAACGGCGGUUGUGAUGGGCCGCUGCAUGGCGCGAGGCCGCUGGGUCGGGGCGAUGGAGGAAUCUUGGUCAGAGUAGGGCGGCGACAGCUGGCGUAGACCGAUGGGCGAGCCGACGCGUGAACGGCGGAUGUGAUGGGCCGCCGCAUGGUGCGAGGCCGCCGGGUCGAGGUGACCGGCAGGCAGACGCGCGGACGACGGCCGUUAGGGUCCGCCUGUCGCACAGGUCGCUGGGUCGAUGAAGAGGUCGGCCGGUCGCGCCAGUGUUGGAGUAGAGGCGCACGGGUGUCGACGGCGGCGGCGGGUGACGCAAACCGAUUUUAGAUCGGAAAACCAAAAAGAAACCUCCGAUCAAGAUGACUGGCGGGAGAGAGAAAAACUAGAAGCAAUGGCUCAGGAAAAAGACUCUCUAGGGCAGCCGGUCAACACGACCGACGGACGAAUCCUAGGUACGGGCGGUGCGGCCCCCGACAGGCGGUCAUGGAGGCCGACCGGCCCGGAGGCGGCGCCCGGUGGCAAGUGUUGGAUCGGUUAGGCUGAUACCAUGUUAGAAGGGAUAGAGAGAUAUUGGUGAAAUCGAUGAUUGUAUUGCUUGAGCCUCGUGGAUAUAUAUAUAGGAGUACAAUGUCUAAUUUGGAGUACAUGGCAAGGCAGGACCAAAUCCUAGUCUAUCUUAUAAUACUCAACAUCCUUCGCAGUUACAACGUUAGUGACGCAGACGAUAAAACUGGAAAAGAAUCCGAACGCAAACCGACUGACACAAUCUAGAGGUUGCGCGUAGCUAACAAAAGGUUGUGUUUUCUUAUAACUAACUAAAGAUAGCCUGUCGUGUCGCAAUUGAUAAAAUAGUAAGACAUGUUUUUUUACCAACAUGACGAGUCUAUUAAACAUUUAUUUUUUAAGUGUAAAUUUGCUUGUGUGGUAUGGCUCAUAGUUCAAGUAGCUUCAAAAUUUCAUCCAUCACAUAGCACACGUAAUAUGUUUGGCAAAUUUUUUAGAGGUAAUAUGUUUGACAAUUGAUUGCAGGGUAUCAACAAACAAUUGUCUGUGUAUAUUCUUGUGGGGGGCAGCUGCAUUAUAUUGGUCAUUGUGGCUUAGCAUAAAUGAUGUGGUUUUAAAUGGUAAAUGUGUUUUAUCAUAUGUGCAAGUUAUUCAUGCAUGUGUGUGAUGGUUCUGUACAUGGUUCAUUCUGUAGAGGCCGGAGGACAGAGAUCUUUAUAUGAUGACGUCUACCCAAUUCGAGCAUUCGGAUAGGGAGGUUCUUACCCUUUAUGGAUGGUGGUGUAAUCUUCGAAUAGGAUUUACCGCACCUUGGACCAUACUUUUUAUUAUUGCUAUAAAAUGAUUUUUUUUUGUGUUUGAUAUAUUGGCUGUGUGCAUCGUGCAAUGCAGAUGCCGAGCAUCCUUUUAAUGUGGCUGUCUCACCGUGAUAUACCAAUGCAAUGAAA